rnacentral:rRNA from 1 species
CACGUAGGGCGCAAGCGUUGUCCGGAUUCAUUGGGCGUAAAGAGCUCGUAGGCGGUUUGGUAAGUCGGGUGUGAAAGCUCAGGGCUCAACUCUGAGAUGCCACCCGAUACUGCCAUGACUCGAGUCCGGUAGGGGAGCACGGAAUUCCUGGUGUAGCGGUGAAAUGCGCAGAUAUCAGGAGGAACACCAGUAGCGAAGGCGGUGCUCUGGGCCGGAACUGACGCUGAGGAGCGAAAGCGUGGGGAGCAAACAGGAUUAGAUACCCUGGUAGUCCACGCCGUAAACGUUGGGCACUAGGUGUGGGACCCAUCCAACGGGUUCUGUGCCGUAGCUAACGCAUUAAGUGCCCCGCCUGGGGAGUACGGCCGCAAGGCUAAA